UAUGAAAUGACCCCCUGUGGAGUUAGUGUGAGGGUGGUGGUAACUUUGAUCUUCGAGGAUCUAUGAGAAAACAGAGGAAAAGAAGGGGCAUGUCGCUUCCAUAGAGCAAAGGAACCAAAAUGAGCUCAGCUCAGCUCCAUCAAUCAGCUUCACAACUCAAACCCUGGACACAUCAGACAUUCCUGUAGAAAUUGCUCCAAUAUCAGGCAAUCAGUAAAAAUGACAGGAGGGCAGAGUUGGACCCUAAUUAGCAUGUGAUUGCUGUCUGUGAGACCAUUAAUAAAGACAAGACUGUCUGCCAACAAGGACUGUUUUCAGUAAGCAUGCUUUUGCAGAGAGAGAAAUUGGUUAAGGCCUUAGUAUUUUUCAAAAUAUUUCCCAAAGAUUCAGGUGGCAGAACCUUUUUUUUUUCUCAAAGUUAAAGAGUAUCAUAGUACCUCCUUUUCCACAGAGGCAGAGAAACUGGGGCCUUCAAGGCCUUCUCUUGCAACUGUUCCUUUAGAGAUGAGGAAAUAAGAGCCCACAUUUGAUGUGAUUUUGCCAAGCUGAGACAAGAUAAACCUUGUUGUUCAUGUCAUGGUUGAAUUGGGGGAAGAGCCUUAAAAAGAUAGAGGAGAAUGGAAUGAUUAGAUAAUAAGACUCUCUUAUUUGGAACCUUCCAGAUCAUACCUCCAAAGGCUUUUCUGUGGGACAGGGAAUAGGCUCCCAUUCAGGGAGAGGGAUUAGUUCAGUGAGGACUGGAAUAAGGUCCAGAAAAGGUUAAAAAAAAAAAAAAAAAAAAGCACCAAAGCCAGCAUUUUCUGAUUGUUGACUUUUGCAUAUGUUGGAAUGCCAGCAUUAACACACACCAAAAAAAACUAGAUUGACUCAUUCAGCAUCUAGAAAUAAAACUUUCAACUUUCUAGGACUCAAGAUCAUCUAAUGAAAGAUAUCUUGAUAAGUAUCUUGAUAAAGAUAAGGACUGAAGGGUUUGAUCCAGGAACCUCCUUAAACAGACCAUUCCUGCUUUACAUAAGUGAACAGUUCUGCAGAUCUCUAUAUAAGGCUGUUUUUAUUUAUUUAUUUUAUUAAUAAGACAAUUUUUAGAGAAAACACUAUUUCAGGGACAGAAAGUGAGAGCAGGAGGAGAAACACAUGGGGGCCCAGCUUCACCCCAGAGGAAAAGGCAGAAGCAGAGGGCCAAAUAUGGACACACUCAUGAGAAGACUCAGGGCAAUAGGCAAUACGUUGGGGCUAGGGACAGACAUGCAAUACCUAACGGCAGAUGAAUGGAAGACAUUCGUGUUGGGGUGGGCAGGCAGAGUGGGCGAAGGUCUCACCUCUUUGCAUGGGAGGUCCCAAGCCAAGCCCUCAUUAUUCUGUUUUUACUUGAAAAGUUUUUUAGGUUUUUUUAGUUGUUUUUUUUUUUUGUUUUUGUUUGUUUUUUUUGGCGGGAGAAGUUUGGGAGAUAAAAGUGGUUGGUGGGAAGCUGUGGAGCUGAGGGGCAGGAAUAGAGAGAGAGUACAGUACUGUACAGAAAAGUUAACAUAGGUAUGUAGAGGUGUGGGGGUAGUUUUUUGGAAUGCAGAUUUCUUCCUUUUUUUUUUUUUUUAAUAACUUUUUAUUGACAGAACCCAUGCCAGGGUAAUUUUUUACAGCAUUAUCCCUUGCCUUCACUUCUGUUCUGAUUUUUCCCCUCCCUCCU